rnacentral:misc_RNA from 1 species
AACGGUCUAUACCUGCGGUACCUGCGGAAGGAUCAUUACAGGACUCGCAAGACUCCUACAACCCUGUGAACUUAACUAUAAGCACGUUGCUUCGGCGGGUGUCUCGGCGAGGGUUCUCCCUCCCCGGGGCGCUAAGCCCGCCGGCAGCCUACUAUACUCUGUCUCUUUGCGUUGGCAUCUCGAGUACAAACAAACAAGUUAAAACUUUCAGCAACGGAUCUCUAGAUCGGAAGAGCACAC